ACUUCGCCUGGAGCAACUGAACCAAGGAUCCAUGACAUGAGACUUAGAUUUAGAAUCCAAUGUAGCUCAGCUGUUAGUGUCAAUCGUGCUAGCCAUCAGAAUCAGAGGGUAGCUCGGCUGAUUCUAGCCUAGUCUAGUUUUGAAUUUGGUCUCUAAAGUCAAAAGUGGGCAAUGUGGCUAUACGUGUCUGAAUUAUUAUAUUAUCAAUAGAAAUUUCAUUUUAAUUAUGUUCCUUCUCAGUGAAUUUGUCUUCGUUUCAUCUGAAAAUGCACCGAGCACGACCGGGAAGCUACCAUGCUUGCAACCAUGAUGUUGCCGGCCGCCACCCGCUCGGUUCAGAGGCUUGCUCGACAACCGAUGUCCAGAUGAGGGAUGGUUAUUGUUAGAGAAUUCAGAUCAUAUAUGCCACCUUAUAUAUGUCAGUGUUGCAAAAUUGCCAUCUCGCCGCAUAUCACCAUCAUAUAGACAACCUUAUAUCAAGAAUGAAAGAAAAAAACUCAAAUCAUUUCUUCGAAAACAAAUGCCUCAUUGUAUUUGAUACUGAAACCCCAUGUUAAAUAUCAUCAAUAGAAGAUUUGUUUUAGUUGCAUUCCUUGUCCGCAAAUUUCUUCAGUAUCCACUGAUUUCUAAUCAAAAUUUAUUACUUGCUGACGGAAGAUAAAUGGAUUUGUUCAACAAAAAGGAAAGAUGAAUGAGCAGUGUUAGAGAAUUCAGAUCAUAUGCCACCUUGGAUAUAUCAAGAUAAAAAAAAAGCAGUGAGUCGUAGAUUCCUGAGACAAAACCAAAAUCAGAUCAUUUCCUUGUCAAACUUUUACAUAAACGGAAUGAAAAUUUGUGGAUCAGCAGCUGGCACAACCCAUACGUCAGAGUGUAGCUCAAAGACAAGCACAAGGAAGGACUAACCAUGGUUUGGGUGGGUCAGUUACAUGGUGCUCAAAGAUUAGCAAAAUCUACCCAGUCCUUGGUUUCUACCUUAUGUGCACCUUGAAGUGCACCUUCAGGCCAAUAAGACCAAGGCUGCUGUUAACAUCACACCAGCUGAUGUAAAUAUGCAUAGGCAUUUCACUUUGUUGUGUUUAUGUGUUUCUUGAUCAUGUUCAAGAUCUCCAUAACCUGUGAAAGCAAGACUACAAUUAGCAACCGACAGAACGGUCAAAAUCAUAAUUUGUAAGAGUGCAAGAAAAUUAUGCUGUCCCGAUGGAUGCCAGCAAUUCCUAGGACACUAGCCUGAUAUGGAGCAACAUGCAAAAGGCAAAUUCAUUAAUAAAGAGGAAAAUCUGAUUAGAAUUUCUGUUAACAUCCAUGUUAUAUGAAUUUGUGCUUUUAGCAAAUCGUUUUGGUCGACAUCAAACAUAGAUGAACUAUAGAUUAUCGAGACUUACUCCAGUAUAGUGUUGCAAAACUGGAGAAUAGUUGUCGAGCCCAAUAUAGUUUUUGCAAGAAGAUCCGUUAAGGCCUCCUACUUGUUGCAUUUGGCAUGCAAAGGAAUAUACCUGGAACAGAAGCAAUAAAGUGUUACUAGUCAUUAUGAUCUGAAAUUAUAUUUACCUCUAGCCCAGUCUUUUGAAGAUUAGAGCCUCUUGUCUCAGAUAUCUCCUUGCAUCGCAAUGUCUUUCUUUUUAAAGGAUUGUCUUCUUUCGUGAGGUGUUUACAUUGAUCUUUCAUUCAGUAAACAAAACCCGUCAAAGAAAAUGACACCUCCUUAUUCACAGAAAUACAACAUAGAACAGUCAUAAGUACUAUGAACUAUAAAGGUAAUCAUAUGGCAAGAUUGGUUAAGAUAAAAUUAACUAUAAUCAAGUAAUCUAGUUUUCACAAAAAUAAACAGGUACCCCAGUACUUAAUGCAAUGCAAAUACAAGCACCUUGAUUCACUAUGCUGAAUUUUGUUUGCAAUGAUAGUCUGUUGAUCUAUAACAAGAUUUUUAAACUCUCUCAUAGAUUCAAUAAGACUUGUUAUGCGUUCUUUGAACUCUUUUUUUCUUUAUAAAUGGUUGACAUGAAUAUUUUCUCCUUUUCUUUGAUGAGGUUACCUAAAUAUUGAUUAUGUUUCUCGACCUCCUUUAGAGAGUCUGUAGCAUUUCUAAAUCUUUCAAGUAACUUACUCAAAUUUAUCUCACUUUGACAUACAUGCUGGAGACCUUACUCCAGCCUGCCGACAAUCACAUAAUUUUUUUCCCCAGAUAUACAGUUAACUUUGUCUGUAAGUAAAUCAAGUUGAUGCAAUAGUAAAUCCAUAUGACCCUUCAUUGCUCCGAAUUCGAUCUGACACGCCUCUUUUCCCCUCACUUCCUUUACUUAAAUGCCUUGCUUCAUAUUAUGCUCCAUCUCAUUACCAUGUAACUGUAUUUCUAUUUCAUUAACGAUCUCUCUUAGUACAAUCAUCUCUAUCACUUCUCUAAUGAUGGUUGCCAUCCUGGUGUCCUCAAUGUAGACUCUAACACGCCAAUUUUCUUUGUAGGAUCUGGCUCUAUGGUAUAGAUGCAAUAAUGUGUGAUGCCUGGGUGGGAAAAGCACACACUUCUACUUAACUAUUAGUGGAAGCACCUUGUAUUUGCUGGAUUUGAGAAUCUAAAACAUUGCUCUUGUCUUGUCGGCCAACAAAUGUUUAUGCCUUGAUGCCAGAAGUACGAUGGAUCACCAAAAACCUUGUCAGGAGAGACUUUAAGACAGUCAUCCUUUGCAGGACCAUUUCUGGAGGAAUGUUCCUUGUCUAUGUUUUACUCACAUCUUCUGUGCCAUCAAAGUUAUGCUGGGAUCUCGAAAGCCCCACUCAGAAUUCAAGAGUGGGAAAUGACACCAAGCUGUUGGUGAAUACUAUAAACUUCAUCAUAUUUUCUAUCCCAACCCUCAGGCAAACUUAAGCUACCAUUUCCAAGCUGCAGUAGCCUUUGGUUCAUCGGCAUUAUCUCUUCAUCCUUGGAAGCAAGCUGCUGAACUAUUUCUUGUUCUACAUCUUUUACAAACCCUUUGAAGAUAGAUGACGUCACAAAUGUUGAGAUAUCAACCAUGGUAUUUAUAUCACCCCACAAGGAGUCCAUCUCAUCCACGAAGAUUAACUCAUUUUCCUUCCGAAGAAGUUCUAUCCUGAAUACUGGCAUUUCCGUUGGUGUCACUGAGUGGCAAACCCAAGCUCUGUUCCAGCCUGCAUAGCGGCACUUCCGUUGGUGCCACUGAGUCGAACAUCCAAGCAGAAUGGGAAGAUACAAAAUAAGGACAUCAAAGCAACUGACUACAGCUGUAAUUAGAACAAAAUUCAUCUGACAACUGCAUGGAACAUGUUAUACCGAACUUCUAACACUCUACAUGCUACAUUGCUACUACAUCUCACUUCAUGUGGAGCAACUGAACAUAAGGACAGAAGCAUCAGUACAGUCCAAAUACUCUACAUGCUACACCUGACUUCAUGUGGAGCAACUGAACGAACGAGCUAUGACAUGAGACUGAGAUUCAGAAUCCACUGUAGCUCAACUGUUAGUGUUGAUCGUGUUAGUGAUCAGACUCCGGUGUAUCUCAGCCGAUUCUACUCUACUCCAAUGGGGAUACUCAUCAUGUAACUGCUGACGGGAUUAGUAUUAUUAAUACUGAAAGAUUUGUUUUAGUUA